rnacentral:tRNA from 1 species
GGCAGGUUGCCCGAGCGGCCAAAGGGAGCUGACUGUAAAUCAGCCGGCAUUGCCUACAUAGGUUCGAAUCCUAUACCUGCCA